rnacentral:rRNA from 1 species
UACGUAGGGUGCAAGCGUUAAUCGGAAUUACUGGGCGUAAAGCGUGCGCAGGCGGUGAUGUAAGACAGGUGUGAAAUCCCCGGGCUUAACCUGGGAACUGCAUUUGUGACUGCAUCGCUGGAGUGCGGCAGAGGGGGAUGGAAUUCCGCGUGUAGCAGUGAAAUGCGUAGAUAUGCGGAAGAACACCGAUGGCGAAGGCAAUCCCCUGGGCCUGCACUGACGCUCAUGCACGAAAGCGUGGGGAG